GGCCCAGAUCGUUUACCGUGAAAAAAUUAGAGUGUUCAAAGCAGGCAGAUCCAAUUUUCUGCCACCGAAUACAUUAGCAUGGGAUAAUGGAAUAGGACCCUGUCCUCCUAUUUUCAGUUGGUUUUGGCAGCGCGAGGACUAGGGUAAUGAUUAAUAGGGAUAGUUGGGGGCAUUAAUAUUUAAUUGUCAGAGGUGAAAUUCUUGGAUUUAUGAAAGAUUAACUUCUGCGAAAGCAUCUGCCAAGGAUGUUUUCAUUAAUCAAGAACGAAAGUUAGGGGAUCGAAGACGAUCAGAUACCGUCGUAGUCUUAACCAUAAACGAUGCCGACCAGCGAUUAGGAGACGUUGAAUACAAAACACCACCAUCGGUGCGGUCGUCCUUGGCGUCUCGGUCCUUCACGGGGCCGGGGCGCGGGGGCGGCUUAGCCCGGUGGCACCGGUGAAUGACUCCCCUAGCAGCUUGUGAGA
rnacentral:rRNA from 3 species